UUUUUAAUUCCAGUUUUAUAUCUAUUCCAGGCAGUGGGCAUCACUCUUCUUGGGCCUGCCUAAAAUUUGUGCUGUAAACAUGGGUAAUUAAUUCCAUGAGUGUUGAAUAGCAAACUUUUCUGUUAAGAGAACUCUUGAUUUUCUGCUGGGCACCAGCAGCAAGAAUUUAUUUACAGGCCUUUGUUGUAAGGAAUCUGGGAUCAAUUUUAGAAUACCUAUCCUUUAAGCAGAAAAAAAAAGUUUGAUACUAUCAAAUAACAAAACUAAAACAAUUUAGUAAUAAGUUUGAUGUCCUUCAUUCAGAGAAAGACAGUCCAUGGAUUGGGGGAGUACAGUGUCUUAUAAGUACUAUUGUAAAGACAUUUGGUGCAAGAGUGAAUUUAUAGAGCU
rnacentral:lncRNA from 1 species